rnacentral:rRNA from 1 species
UACAGAGGGGGCGAGCGUUGUUCGGAAUUACUGGGCGUAAAGGGCGCGUAGGCGGCCCGCUAAGUCGAACGUGAAAUCCCCAGGCUCAACCUGGGAACUGCGUCCGAUACCGGCAGGCUUGAAUCCGGGAGAGGGAUGUGGAAUUCCAGGUGUAGCGGUGAAAUGCGUAGAUAUCUGGAGGAACACCGGUGGCGAAGGCGGCAUCCUGGGCCGGUAUUGACGCUGAGGCGCGAAAGCUAGGGGAGCAAACGGG